AGCAUGAGAUAAUACAAAAACGAAAUUGCAGAGUAAAAUAAGAGAUGAAAGAAGAUUAGUAAAAAGUAUGAGAAUUAAUUUACCAUUAAAAAAACACUUGAGCUUCCAUUAAGAUAUUAAAUUCACCCUUGUUUUAAGGCAACUGUUCCGAUGAGAAGCCAAAAUUUGUCGCUGUUCCUUGAGUGUUUGUGAGACAGGAGAAUCAUAUGCAUUGAUUGUAUUAAAGAAUAAUCCUAUGGAAAAAGAGAAAUCGAAUUCAGUCAAAUAAAGCAGAAACAAAGCAAAAAAAAAA
rnacentral:sRNA from 1 species